AGCGCAGGCGGGCGAUCAAGUUGGAAGUGAAAUCCAUGGGCUCAACCCAUGAACUGCUUUCAAAACUGAUUGUCUUGAGUAGUGCAGAGGUAGGCGGAAUUCCCGGUGUAGCGGUGGAAUGCGUAGAUAUCGGGAGGAACACCAGUGGCGAAGGCGGCCUACUGGGCACCAACUGACGCUGAGGCUCGAAAGUGUGGGUAGCAAACA
rnacentral:rRNA from 1 species